rnacentral:rRNA from 1 species
ACGGGAGGCAGCAGUGGGGAAUAUUGGGCAAUGGGCGAAAGCCUGGCCCAGCAACGCCGCGUGAAGGAAGAAGGCCUUCGGGUUGUAAACUUCUUUUGUCAGGGACGAAGGACGUGACGGUACCUGACGAAUAAGCAACGGCUAACUACGUGCCAGCAGCCGCGGUAAUACGUAGGUUGCAAGCGUUGUCCGGAUUUACUGGGUGUAAAGGGCGUGUAGGCGGAGCUGCAAGUCAGAUGUGAAACCCCGGGGCUCAACACCGAAACAGCAGUUGAAACUAUAGCCCUUGAGUAUCGGAGAGGUAAGCGGAAUUCCUAGUGUAGCGGUGAAAUGCGUGGAUAUUAGGAGGAACACCAGUAGGGAAGGCGGCUUGCUGGACGACAACUGACGCUGAGGCGCGAAAGCGUGGGGAGCAAACAGGAUUAGAUACCCUGGUA